rnacentral:rRNA from 1 species
AGUGAACGCUGGCGGUAGGCCUAACACAUGCAAGUCGAACGGCAGCACAGGAGAGCUUGCUCUCUGGGUGGCGAGUGGCGGACGGGUGAGGAAUACAUCGGAAUCUACUCUGUCGUGGGGGAUAACGUAGGGAAACUUACGCUAAUACCGCAUACGACCUACGGGUGAAAGCAGGGGACCUUCGGGCCUUGCGCGAUUGAAUGAGCCGAUGUCGGAUUAGCUAGUUGGCGGGGUAAAGGCCUACCAAGGCGACGAUCCGUAGCUGGUCUGAGAGGAUGGGCAGCCACACGGGAACUGAGACACGGUCCGGACACCUACGGGAGGCAGCGGUGGGGAAUAUUGGACAAGGGGCGCAAGCCUGAUCCAGCCAUACCGCGUGGGUGAAGAAGGCAUUGGGGUUGUAAAGCCCUUUUGUUGGGAAAGAAAUCCAGCUGGCUAAUACCCGGUUGGGAUGACGGUACCCAAAGAAUAAGCACCGGCUAACUUCGUGCCAGCCGCCGCCGUAA